ACAAAAACAAGCUAAUAUAUGUCAAUGGGCCUGAUGAAGUUGAGUUUUUUUUUACUUUUGGGAGAAAUGGAACAUAUAUAAGUGAAGAAAAGUAAAGAAAAGGGGAAAAUAUUACAGACACAGUACAUGGACACCAGCAUGAGCAAGUUAAGACAAGAAUCUGCCAUGGAAAGAAACUGUUAAAAGAAGAAAAGAAAGAUGAAGAAAUAGACUUUAACUUGUGUUACAUAUAUGUACAUUUUAUUAUACUAUUAACAAAUUUUUAAAAUAUAUUCUGUUACCAAA